AGUGGGGAAUAUUGCACAAUGGGCGCAAGCCUGAUGCAGCGACGCCGCGUGGGGGAUGACGGCCUUCGGGUUGUAAACUCCUUUCAACCAUGACGAAGCUUUUGUGACGGUAGUGGUAGAAGAAGCACCGGCUAACUACGUGCCAGCAGCCGCGGUAAUACGUAGGGUGCGAGCGUUGUCCGGAAUUACUGGGCGUAAAGAGCUCGUAGGUGGUUUGUCGCGUCGUCUGUGAAAUUCCGGGGCUUAACUCCGGGCGUGCAGGCGAUACGGGCAUAACUUGAGUGCUGUAGGGGAGACUGGAAUUCCUGGUGUAGCGGUGAAAUGCGCAGAUAUCAGGAGGAACACCGAUGGCGAAGGCAGGUCUCUGGGCAGUAACUGACGCUGAGGAGCGAAAGCAUGGGUAGCGAACAGGAUUAGAUACCCUGGUAGUCCAUGCCGUAAACGGUGGGCGCUAGGUGUGGGGGUCUUCCACGACUUCUGUGCCGUAGCUAACGCAUUAAGCGCCCCGCCUGGGGAGUACGGCCGCAAGGCUAAAACUCAAAGGAAUUGACGGGGGCCCGCACAAGCGGCGGAGCAUGUGGAUUAAUUCGAUGCAACGCGAAGAACCUUACCUGGGCUUGACAUAUGCCGGAUCGGCGCAGAGAUGCGUUUUCCCUUGUG
rnacentral:rRNA from 1 species